rnacentral:tRNA from 1 species
CAUAUAAUAUUAAAAGAGUUCCUUUAUUGUAAGAAGGUUGAGCUGUAAACAAUAGUUAUGUGC